UACGUAGGGUGCGAGCGUUAAUCGGAAUUACUGGGCGUAAAGCGUGCGCAGGCGGUUCGUUGUGUCGGUGGUGAAAGCCCCGGGCUUAACCUGGGAACUGCAUUUGUGACUGCAUCGCUGGAGUGCGGCAGAGGGGGAUGGAAUUCCGCGUGUAGCAGUGAAAUGCGUAGAUAUGCGGAGGAACACCGAUGGCGAAGGCAAUCCCCUGGGCCUGCACUGACGCUCAUGCACGAAAGCGUGGGGAGCAAACAGG
rnacentral:rRNA from 1 species